rnacentral:rRNA from 1 species
UACAGAGGAGCCAAGCGUUGUCCGGAUUGACUGGGCGUAAAGCGCACGCAGGCGGCACCGCGCGUGGGGUGUGAAAUCUGGCCGCUUAACGGCCAGGCGCCAUCCCAUACGGCGGAGCUGGAGUGAUGCAGAGGUCGAUGGAAUUGCCGGUGUAGUGGUGAAAUGCGUAGAGAUCGGGAGGAACACCCGCGGCGAAGGCGGCCACCUGGACCAGACCUGACGCUGAGGCGCGAAGGCCGGGGGAGCGAACGGG